UAAUACGUAGGGAGCAAGCGUUGUUCGGAUUUACUGGGCGUAAAGAGUGCGUAGGCGGUUAUAUAAGUCAAAGGUGAAAUCCCUACUCUCAAAGUAGGAACUGCCUUUGAUACUAUAUAACUAGAGGACAAGAGGGGGAAAUGGAACUCUGGGAGUAGCGGUGGAAUGCGUAGAUAUCCAGAGGAACGCCGGUAGCGAAGGCGGUUUUCUGGCUUGCCCCUGACGCUGAGGCACUAAAGCUAGGGGAGCGAUCGGGAUUAGAGACCCCGGUAGUCCUAGCCGUAAACGAUGGGUACUAAGUGUGGGGGGAGCAUUACCCUCCGUGCUGAAGCUAACGCGUUAAGUACCCCGCCUGGGGAGUACGGCCGCAAGGCUG
rnacentral:rRNA from 1 species